GGUAUGGGAUGAGCUUGCGUCCGAUUAGCUAGUUGGCGGGGCAACGGCCCACCAAGGCGACGAUCGGUAGCCGGCCUGAGAGGGUGAUCGGCCACAUUGGGACUGAGAUACGGCCCAGACUCCUACGGGAGGCAGCAGUAGGGAAUAUUGCACAAUGGGGGGAACCCUGAUGCAGCAACGCCACGUGUGGGAAGAAGCAUUUCGGUGUGUAAACCACUGUCGUGAGGGAAUAAUACGCGUCUUCGGGCGCGGGAGAAUGUACCUUGAAAGGAAGCACCGGCAAACUUCGUGCCAGCAGCCGCGGUAAUACGAGGGGUGCAAGCGUUGUUCGGAAUCACUGGGCGUAAAGGGAGCGUAGGCGGAUGUUCAAGCGGAUUGUACAAUACCGGGGCCCAACCCCGGACCUGCAGUUCGAACUGGACAUCUUGGAUAGUUCAGGGGCAGGC
rnacentral:rRNA from 1 species